CUUGCACCAGUGGGGUCCCUCGGCCUGGCCUGUGCCCUCUUGCAAUCCAGGAUCCCACAGGAGAUGUUGGAGAGCCGGUUUUGGCCCGAUCCCGCAGGCCAGGCCGAGGGACCCCACUGGUGCAUG
rfam:Myotis lucifugus cont2.13216, whole genome shotgun sequence.